CCUCAGUUGAUGUUCACAUCAGAAUGGGGACAAAAUGGGAUCUCGGUGACUUUGCCCGCGGCAGGAUUGUUGGUGCCAGACGGGCUGGUUUGAGUAUUUCUGAAACUGCUGGUUGUCGAGUCAGGAUUUGGCAUCAACAGCCUGAAUCCAUGGACCCAGCCUUCCUUGCGUCAACAGUCCAGGCUGGUGGUGGUGUGAUGGUUUGGGGAAUGUUUUCUUGGCUCACUUUGGCUCCUUAGUACCAGUCAGUCAUGGUUUUAAUGCCACAGCCAGUCUGAGUAUUGUCCCUGACCACGUGCUUCACUUUAUGGCCACAGUUCACCAUCUUCUAGUGGCUACUUCCAGCAGGAUAAUGCUCCAUGUCACAAAGCAAAAGUCGUCUCAAACUGGUUUCAUGAACAUGAGUUCAGUGGACUACAGUGGCCUCCCUAGUCUCCAGAUCUGGAUCCAGUGAAACACCUCUGGGAUGUGGUAGAACAGGAGACUGGCAGCCCGACUGUGCAGCGGACAAAUCAGCAGAAAUGAUGUGGUGCAGUCACGUCAACAUUGGACCAGAACCUCAGAGGAAACUUUCCAACAUCUCGGGGAAUCCAGACCACGAAGAACUGGUGCUGUUUUGAGAGCAAAGGGAGGAACCACCCUGUGUUAGUACGGUGUUUCUACUUAAGUGCUGUGAGUGGAUGUUGCAGUAUGAUAGACAAUAGUUGUUUCAGUUGGACUAUUGCAGUUCUUGCUGCUAUGAGGUGAUAUUUAUUGCGAAUAUUUCACAAGGUUUUACUAAAUAUGGAAAAUAGUUGGCAUCAUUUUGUUGAGAAUAAACCUAAUUAUUUUUGUUUUAUUUUUGCUUUACUUUGGAGGGCAGGUGUCUGUUUCCGGUGAAACUGUCCGGUUUGCAGCCGCUGACCUGCCGUUUUCUCGUGAACAUUUUCACAUUCUGCCAACAAACUUCCGAGAUUAACGGUGCCGGUGGGAUGCCGGACACGGCUGCUGACAUUAGAGAAAUUUAUUUUCGGAUGUUAUCCAGUAUAUCUUUGUGUCCUCGCAAGCGGAAUUUGUUAGCUAAAAUAUAAUUUGAUAAGCCAGCUAACGUUAGCUUAACUUUAAUUAACGGUCGUCUUCCCGCUCACAAACAAACAUGUCGGAGGAGAACAUCACCCUGUAUGACUUGCUGAACUUAUCAAUCGGGACACCUCAGCGGGGAGCUGUCAACUUCAGCGCCCUCCACGCCCUGCUCCACGCCGUGCUGAGGCAGCUGGGUAUCCGGGAGAUGAAGAUCCGGUGGAGGGACUCUCCCUCCGGCGACACGCACACCGACGCCCUGGUGGGUGUCACCGGUCCCAGACAGGACCAGCGCACAGAGGGGGAACAGCUCCAGACCGAGGGGGACACGGAGCAGGAGCUUCGGCCCGGCACCGAGCCGCGGGAGCGGCUGGCCGCCUCCCCUGCUCCGGCCCCCUCCUCCGGCAUCCCGCCGGACGGACAGUCAAAGCUGCGGUCCCGCAUCCAGACCUGCGAGGACGGCGUGUCCGAGGCCAUGAGGCUCAUACAGGAGCUCCACAACCAGAAAGACAAUCUGAAGGAUGAUAUUAAGGAGCUCUGCCACCAGCAGAAGACAGUCACCGCAGUGGAGACGUGCUGCCACCGUGUGGACUCCCUGGAGGACACUGUGAGAUCUCUGAGGGACACAUUUCAGAAGUAUCCAGACCCAGAGGAGCUGAGUCGGUGCGUGACCUGGGAUGUCAUGCAGUCAGCUCUGCUCAGUGAGAGCGAGAACCUCCAGAAGGAGCUUGUAAAUUCAGGGGUAGUUGAUCCAGCCACAGCAGUCAAACCCAUACACGCACCUUUCAACAGCAACUUCCCUGCCGGUAACACUUCUGAUACCAGCAUGUCCUCCUCCCCCCACCCUGUCGAGGAUACUGUCAGAACAACAGCCCCUAGUUCUCCAGUGAUUUCUGGAGAGAUUUUGAAUCUCCAGGAGGCCACGGGCGCCCGGCCAGCCACAGAGACCUCUUCAGUCCUGUCAGGGACACCUCAACAGACUCAUUCCAAAACAGGCCCUGAGGAUGCUGGUAUGCCCCUGUCUCGAGAGGCCAGCAGCUCAGAGCGCUACCCAGAGACAGUGGAGGCCCUGAGGAAUAUCGGCAAACUGAAGGAAAAGUUCAGCAAGCUGGAAGCUCGUGUGGUAGCGCUGGAGGAAGGAAAGGUGGACCAGACUCAGCUGGCUCAGCUCAAAGAAGUCGUCACUAACAAGGGUUCUCAAGAUGUGUCUAAUAACCUGAUGGAUCAACUGAACCAGCAGAGAGCUUUAAUAGAUAGUCUUAUGAGUGACCGGGAAAAGCUGGACAACCUGCGAGGCGUCUUGGAGGACAUGAUGCUGUCCUUGACCUCUCAGCUGUCCGGCAGCCUCCAGGACGAGGCUGGGCAGGAUGAGAGCGACAGCCAGGCCCUCGGUCAGCAUACAGAGAGAUCAGCUUUCACCACCAGUGCAGUAAACAUUGGGAGGAAGCUCAGCCGCCUGUUCCAGCACUAUGAGCAACUGCAGGACACAGUGAACAAUCUUCUCCAACAGCAGACAGGAGGCAGAGCAGGGAUGCUGAAGGACAGAGAGAACGUGGAGCUGGUGAACGAUGUGCAGAAGGCGAUUCUGCAGCUUCAAGCAGAGUGUGAAAAACUGCAUGAAACAACCAGGUUUCUGCACGAGGACAACAGACAGAAACAGAGCCACAUAGAGGAGCUGUACAAGACGACAGAGGAGCUGGAGGAGAAGAAGGCUGACAAGCACAUGGUUGAGAGUGAAAUCAAAGCAGAUAAAUCUGCUUUGGACAGCAAAGUGAGCCGUCUGCAGUUUGACUCUGCGACAGAGCAGCUCAACACCAUGUUCCACGAGCUGCUGAACAAAGUGACGGACCAGGAGCAGGACUGGCACAAAGUCAUCGACAAACUCUCCACUGAGAUGGAGUGUAAGCUGAACAGGAUUGAGUUAGACUCUGUGAAGAGGCAGCUGGAAGAUUGCUGGAAGAAUAUUCAUGACAAGCUGCAGGCUCAGGGAGCUCCAGAACACGAGGAUGCUGCUGGUAUUAGAAAACAACUCGUGGACAGAUUUCACUGCCUCUCCUGUGACCGACCUGUUGUCAAGCACACCCCCGGACCAUUACAAAACCAAACAACUUUAUACCCUAAAACAUCACUGAGCUUCUGUCUAAACUCCCCUGCCCUUGUGUUUGGGUGUUUGUUUUUGGGGAAUAAAAGGCAUUUGGUGACGCUGCCCUCCACUCCUGGAUUCCCCUCACACAAGUCCAUCAGGCCGUUCACUGUUUACGCUCUGGAGCAGUUUCGACAGCACUACAGAAGUGAGCGCAUCGCUGAGCUGACGGACUACAGCCACCUGGCCGUGUCCCGGAGCUGUGGGGGGAGUCACACAGUCACCUCGGCCAGCCAACGACGCACCGGCCUGCAGUACAUGAAGCACCACAACCAGCCUGAGGUGGACGCCGGGAUUCAGUCGGAGGAGGUUGAUAUCGUCGGACUGGACGGGCAUAUUUACAGAGGUCGCCUGAAUCCCCCAGCCACCAGAAGUACAGAAACAAAACUACCUACAAUCUCUACCAAAGACGGCAUGUGCAAGAUAAAAGACAAAGCCAAAUGCUCCCCAUCACACAAACCUGCUGCUUCUCCGGAGGUGGGACACAACACUCCGGUUCAUCACCCCCACAGUGCCAAGAGUGCCCAGUGCAGCCGCUCGGCCUCCAGCUGCUCGGGUCGGGACUGGCCGGUGUCGGCUCUGGGCUGCACGUCUCAGAGCUCCAUCGCUCCGGCUUCGGCUGCAGCAGAGAGGACCACAGAGGCUCAGGACAACCAGCAGGCCCACCUGUAGGAGGCGACGGAGAGCUCUGUACUGUUUCUGAUGUGUAAUUAACUUCUGCAGGGAGGUCACCUGCUGGAGCCUCCGCUGACGUGUGUCCAAAGGAGGAGUUAGAGUUGGUAACAAAGACAUGAAUAAACACUUAGAUCUGAUCGCAGCCACAUUAUAGUGUAUUAUAAACCAUUUAUUAAGUGUUUAUAUAUGAUUAU